AUCAAACUUUCAAUUUGACCCAAUAUGCAAAACAAUGUUAUUUUUUAUACGUUCUCAUCAAUAAUGCUUUGAAAGGAAUAUAUUUAAUGUUUUCAGUCCUGGAGCUACUGGAUAUCAGUGUUGCAUUUGACAUGGUCGACCAUAACAUUUUACCAGACCGGCUGAAAAACUGAGGAGGACUUUCUGGGACUGCAAUUAAUUGUUUUGACUCCUAUUAAAAAGACAGGGACUGCUUUGUGUCUAUAGGUAACUAUAAAUCUAAGUGAACUAAAAUAACCUGUUGAGCUCCCCAAGGCUCCACCUUAGAGGCACUGAUAUUUAGUGUCUACAUGUU